CCUACGGGAGGCAGCAGUGAGGAAUAUUGGUCAAUGGGCGCGAGCCUGAACCAGCCAAGUCGCGUGAGGGAAGACGGCCCUACGGGUUGUAAACCUCUUUUGCCGGGGAGCAACGGGCGCCACGUGUGGCGCCACUGAGAGUACCCGGAGAAACAGCAUCGGCUAACUCCGUGCCAGCCGCCGCGGUAAUACGGAGGAUGCGAGCGUUAUCCGGAUUUAUUGGGAUUAAAGGGUGCGUAGGGGGAGCGUUAAGUCCGGGGUAAAAUUGUGGGGCUCAAACCCUUCCCGUCAGUGAAACUGGCGCGCUUGAGAGGAAGAGAGGUAAGCGGAAUGCGUGGUGUAGCGGUGAAAUGCAUAGAUAUCACGCAGAACCCCGAUUGCGAAGGCAGGAUGCCGGCUUCCGACUGACGCUGAAGCACGAAAGCGUGGGGAUCGAACAGGAUUAGAUACCCGGGUAGUC
rnacentral:rRNA from 1 species